rnacentral:rRNA from 1 species
UUCGUAGGUGGCCAACUAAGUCAGACGUGAAAUCCCUCAGCUCAACUGGGGAACUGCGUCUGAUACUGGUGUGGCUUGAGUGCAGGAGAGGAACGCGGAAUUCCAGGUGUAGCGGUGAAAUGCGUAGAUAUCUGGAGGAACACCGGUGGCGAAGGCGGCGUUCUGGACUGCAACUGACACUGAGGAACAAAGCAGGGAGCAAACG